rnacentral:rRNA from 1 species
AGCGAACGCUGGCGGCAGGCUUAACACAUGCAACUCGAACGAACCUUUCGGGGUUAGUGGCGGUCGGGGGAGCAACACGUGGGAAUAUGUAUUGGCGCUGCGAACAACUCAGGGACACUUGCGCUACCACCGAACGCGCCCUCCGGGGGCAAGAUUUAUCGUCAUUAGCUCCGCCCGCGUCUGGCUCGCUAGUUGGUUGAGGUAAUGGCUCACCACCCCGACGAUCAGCAGCUGGGCUGGGAGAAAGAUCAGCCACAUUGGGCCUGAGCCACGACCCAAACCCCUACGCGAGGCAGCAGCGGGGAAUCUUACGCAAUGGGCGAAAGCCUGACGCAGCCAUGCCGCGUGAAUGAUGCAGGUCUUAGGAAUGUCAAAUUCUUUGACCGUGAACGAUAAUGACGGUACCCGAAGAAGAAGCCCCGGCUAACUUCGUG